rnacentral:rRNA from 1 species
AACGAACGCUGGCGGCAGGCUUAACACAUGCAAGUCGAGCGCCCCGCAAGGGGAGUGGCAGACGGGUGAGUAACACGUGGGAACGUGCCCUUCGCUUCGGGAUAGCCUCGGGAAACUGGGAGUAAUACCGAAUACGCCGUAUUGGGAAAGAUUUAUCGGCGAAGGAUCGGCCCGCGUUGGAUUAGCUAGUUGGCGGUGUAAUGGACCACCAAGGCUACGAUCCAUAGCUGGUCUGAGAGGACGACCAGCCACACUGGGACUGAGACACGGCCCAGACUCCUACGGGAGGCAGCAGUGGGGAAUCUUGGACAAUGGGCGCAAGCCUGAUCCAGCCAUGCCGCGUGAGUGAAGAAGGCCUUAGGGUUGUAAACUCUUUCGCCGGUGAAGAUAAUGACGGUAACCGGAGAAGAAGCCCCGGCUAACUUCGUGCCAGCAGCCGCGGUAAU